rnacentral:lncRNA from 1 species
AGUUCUGCUUCUGAAGCUGGAAGGGGCUUUUCGGUUGUAACCCUUGGGUUAGUUUCAGUUACUUCUUUGCUAGGUUGAGGAAAGGGUGGAAGCGCCUCCUGCAGCCACGAAUAUCCUCCAGUGCCUGAGAGAAAACGGCCUAAUCGAAAACGUCCGCGGCAUACAUCCAUUCUUAAAACUUGAGUGGCUGCUUUUCUGGGUGGAAAAGAGCGGUAUCAGACAGGAUUAGAAGAAGAUAUUUUAAAAUAGACAAAAUAUCCAGAGCUGUAUGGAAAAUGAACAUGCUGAUCACUGGUGGAGAUGUGAAUUGCCACACCCUUCUGGAAAGUUAUGUAGCAGUAUCUGCUAAAACUUAAUAUUCACAUAUAUUAGACUUAGGAAUUUCAUUUUGUUGAAUUCUAAAGACAUAAAAAUACUGAUGUCGGAGAAAUCGUGAUUCUGAAAGAUUUUAAAAUCAGAAGAUUUAGAAAUACAUUGUUUGUUCCCAGUGCCACUAUGGCCAGGUAAAUCUCAGGGGCUUUCUUAGCCCAGAAGGCAAGGCUGGAUCUUGAGGGGCAACUAGCAAUCUCCUCCAUCUGUGUGUAUUAACCUAGAGAGUUAUGGAGCAGAGAUUGACACUUACUCCUUCUUCCUUAGUAACAAUGCCUGGAUUUUAUUCAGAUGCUGUGUACCCAGCCAAAAGACUACAUUUCUCAAUCUCCAUUGUAGCUGGAUGUGGCUGUGUGAUCAAGUUAUGACCAAUGAGAUAUAAGUAGAAGUAGCUUGGCCAGACACAGUGGCUCACACCUGUAAUCCCAGCCCUUUGGGAGGCCAAAGCAGGAGGAUCACUUGCACUCAGGAGUUGGAAACUGCAGACCAGCCUGGAGAACACAGUGACACCUUGUCUCUACACAAAAUGAAAAAGUUAGCAGGGUAUGGUGGCAUGUGCCUGUGGUCCCAGCUACUUCCAGCUACUUGGGAGGCUAAAAUGGAAGGAUCGCUUGAGCCUGGGAGAUUGAGGCCUCAGUGAGCCAUGAUCAUGCCACUGUACUCCAGCCUGGGUGACAAGAGCAAGACCCUGUCUCUCAAAAAAAAAAAAACGCGGCUGGGUGGAACAUCUGGAAAACAUCUUUAAAGAACGCUGACUCAAUCAGGAGGAGCACCAUUUUGUUUCUUGCCCUCUGCCCUUCCUGCCUGAAACAGAUAAGUGCCCUCUGUGUACCAAAAAGGAAUGUACUGUUUAUAGAGACUUCAAAUCAGCAGAAAAUUCAAAUAGUUAUAACUUUUCUUUAUAAUCCAUCAUGAAAAAGAGUAACGACAAGAAGCUGAUUCCUGCCAACUGCAUUUCCUGGGCUCAUUUAACCAUGCCCAGAAGGAAUUAGGACAAUGAAAGAUAAAAAGAUAAAGGAGCCAACAUAUCCUCUCCCCUUUGAUUCAGACGACUUCUCCACCAUCACCUUCUUCACAAUGGCCACUUUUCCUCUGCAGUUGGGGUUCUUCUUCCCCAGCAAUGGCUCCAGGACUCUGUUAACUCAGCUCCUCCCCAGUUCUAGAGGUAGACGGUAGAGGCUUCCUGCUAUUGUUACUCUGGGGUUCCCCUUCUUCUCCAGUUUGGCUUUCCAGCCCUUCCAACUCCUUUGUAACUAGUUCCUGGUAUCAAAUUCACUUAACUGAACUACCUGACUUCGGCCCUGAUGUUUGAGUGGACCCCAUCUCACACACUGAGGUUGACAAUACUUGGCAAGUUGUUAGGCGAAGAGCAAAACAAUAAUCAUAAUCAUAGAAGCAUUCAUGUAGGUAUUGCAAGGCUCACAUCUCCAAAAUGUCCAGUGGAGACAUGAAAUAAUGAAUAUGUUACAUAGUGACAGUCAUUUAAAAUUUUUCAAAAGCCACUUUCAUUUUGUUCUUUUCUUCAUUCUUUAGUAAUCCCCCAUCAAUAGAGAAACUAUGGGGGAAAGGAGCAGAGUAUACAAAGAAUGAUGCCCACAGUGAGCCCAAAAUAGCUCCAAGUGGAUUUGCCUGCACGAAAGAAAGAUGUAAUCAGCACCCAGAGUAGGUAGCGAAACAGUCAACACUGCUGUUCCUCUCAAGACCCCUGCUGCUCUCCCACCAGAAACGUAGUCGCUCUCUGCAUUAAUUUGAUCUUCCCAUGACGUGAAAGCAUCAAUUAUAAGUUGUACGAUAAGUCAAGCUUAUUAUAUGUAAGAGUCCAGGCCAGGCGCAGUGGCUCACGCCUGUAAUCCCAGCACUUUGGGAGGCCAAGGCGGGUGGAUCACAAGGUCAGGACCUCGAGACCAUCCUGGCUAACAUGGUGAAACCCUGUCUCUACUAAACAAAAUACAAAAAAUUAGCCGGGCGUGGUGGCGGGUGCCUGUAGUCCCAGCUACUUGGGAGGCUGAGGCAGGAGAAUGGCGUCAACCCGGGAGGCAGGGCUUGCAGUGAGCUCAGAUCACGCCACUGCACUCCAGCCUGGGCGACAAAGCAAGACUCUGUCUC